rnacentral:lncRNA from 1 species
AUCCUCUUCUCCUCCAAUCCUCUUCUCCUCUGCUCCUCUUCUCCUCCAAUCCUCUUCUCCUCCGCUCCUCUUCUCCUCCACUCAGAUGAGUAAUGGAAGAAGAGCAAUAAUGAAAGCGUGUAGAAAGAGAGGGAGGAGGGGUUGUUAAACCCACUUGAAAGCUCCCUCCAAUCGAUAGUGACGGGCCAAGCACGGAUUAAACCCAGGUUAAGUCCACUCUAAUCAAUACUGAUGGCCAACCCAGGGGUUAAAACACGAGUCAUUCUCAGCAGAUCCAUCCAGGCAGUAGCACUGUGGCCCAUCGCACAGAUACAUCUACAGCCAUGGACACUACGAGUUAACAUCUACAGCCAUGGACACUAUGGGUUAACAUCUACAGUCAUGGACACUACAGGUUAACAUCUACAGCCAUGGACACUACGAGUUAACAUCUACAGCCAUGGACACUACGGGUUAACAUCUACAGCCAUGGACACUAUGGGUUAACAUCUACAGCCAUGGAUGCUACAGGUUAACAUCUACAGCCAUGGACACUACGGGUUAACAUCUACACGUAUUCAGUUUGGAUGACUCCCGCUAUGGGCUGGAACAGUG